rnacentral:rRNA from 1 species
GAUGAACGCUGGCGGCGUGCCUAAUACAUGCAAGUCGAGCGAACAGAUAAGGAGCUUGCUCCUUUGACGUUAGCGGCGGACGGGUGAGUAACACGUGGGUAACCUACCUAUAAGACUGGGAUAACUUCGGGAAACCGGAGCUAAUACCGGAUAAUAUUUCGAACCGCAUGGUUCGAUAGUGGAAGAUGGUUUUGCUAUCUCUUAUAGAUGGACCCGCGCCGUAUUAGCUAGUUGGUAAGGUAACGGCUUACCAAGGCGACGAUACGUAGCCGACCUGAGAGGGGGAUCGGCCACACGGGAACUGAGACACGGUCCAGACGCCUACGGGAGGCAGCAGUAGGGAAUCUUCCGCAAUGGGCGAAAGCCUGACGGAGCAACGCCGCGUGAGUGAUGAAGGUCUUCGGAUCGUAAAACUCUGUUAUUAGGGAAGAACAUACGUGUAAGUAACUGUGCACGUCGUGACGGUACCUAAUCAGAAAGCCACGGCUAACUACGUG